CUGCAAGAUGUAGGACUCUCAGCUCCAGCACCCCAGCUGCCUGCAUGCGACUCUAGUCCCUGCCAUGAUGUUAAUGGACUGAACCUCUGAAACUGAUCCCUCACCUCUGGGUCUCUGGGCGCCAGAGUCGAUGAGUGGGGCCAUGCUGUGAAACGCUGGGGCUCUGCAAUCAGCCGAAACCACACCGAGCACAUAACAGGAUUCCAGCCUGCAACCCCGAGCCCCUCUAGCCACCAAGGGAGUAGAACGAUAACAGAGACCAAUCUCCUUUUCUGGAGACUGGAAGCCAAAAGGGGCAGGAGGACAUGCAGGAUCCAGAAGGAGCGCCGUAGUCCCCAUAGCCCGGCAACAAGGCACGUCUACCCAGCGUCGAGAUUCCACAGGAACCAAUCACAGAAGGGUUCCACACGAAUGAUACAUGCUCUAGCACAAGAAGCAAAGAGCUCGGAUUUUCAGAACUGGAAGUGCUGGGGAAAGAAAGAUGGCAAAGCAUUCAGAGAACGCUGUCAUCGAGCAAGCAGCCAGACCCAAGGCUCCUGCCGCCACAGAAGUUAGACUGGCUCUCUGAAUGAUAGCAGCUUGAUCCUCCUUUUGAAGUUGUCCUGAAAGGGUGAAAGUCUUCCAUUCGGAUUCCUUGAUCCUCUUCCCACCCCUACCUUUAAUUCAGCACCUUGCAAAAUCCCUAACACAUGUGGACACUGACCCCCACCCCGUGUGCCCUGUGUGCGUUUUUUUUUGUUUGUUCUGUUUUGGUUUUGUUUUUUCCGAGACUGAGUUUCUCUGUUUAACUACCCUGGCUGUCCUGAGACUCACUUUGCAGACCAGACUGGCCACGAACUCACAGAGAUUCCCCUGCCUCUUCCCCGCACCACCACAGCCCAGCAGCCCUGUGCUUGUUUAGGGAAAUGGAAAACGGAAAACACCCCCUGGCAGACAGCGCAGAGGGGAGGCGAGAUUCCUACGCCUAGAGGACACCUGGUGGGGAUCUCUGCACCAUGACCUGGUUCAGGGUCUCUGAAGCCUGGGGUGUUUCUAUGUGGCCCCUGGACUCUCUGCAAAGGAAGCCUCCACUUGAUACCACCGCUGUGGCUCCAAAUGGCACCCAGGGCGGGGAGAUGCUAUGGGGGGAAAAGCAUAUGCUCUGUGGGCCUGAGUUCACUACUGCAACUCUCAUGAAGGUAGAAGGAGAGGCCCAGACUCCACAAAACUAUCCUCUGGCCUCCACGUGUACACAAUGGUGCACCUGCACACACACCGACACUAUACUUUAAAACUUAAGAUAGCAUUCAUUUGCCUGUUUAUUCAAUUAUCUGACCAGUCUUCUCCCAGCAGCACCAACAAUGCCCAGGCAGUUUGAAACACUGGGGAGGUAGUGAACAAGUGACCAUGGUCUCUGCCCUCACAGAACUGUGACGCAACAGGGCGGGCAACGGAGGGCCUAUCAGAGUCGGUGAGGGGAGGAGCCGUUUGAACUGACGUUUGAGUGACGUUUGAGUGUUUGAGCGGGGCUCCGUUUGAGUGUUUGAGCGGGGCUCCGGUUUGAAUAUGACUUUUGUGUGUCCUCCAAAGGCUAAUGUGUCUGAAGCUUGGAUUUCAACGUGGCAGGACUGGAGUUGAUGUAGCCUUUUCUAGCCUUUCCUAGGUAGGGUCUUGUGGACGACCCAUCAUGGGAGAAUCAGCUUUAGGAGGAUUUCAUGUCGUUCAUGAGGUGUUAAGUCCUGCAAGAGCAAAAGAUUAUCAGAGAGCAAGGUCUGGCCUCUGAAUUUCCCUCUUGCGCGUGAGUCCAGCGUGAUGCCGUCGUGAUGUAGCCAGAGGGCGCUCCCUCACCAGGGCGGGUACAUACUGGUGCUACCCUCUGGAAUCUACAGAACUGUGAAAUAAAUAA